AACGAACGCUGGCGGCAGGCCUAACACAUGCAAGUCGAACGCACCGCAAGGUGAGUGGCGCACGGGUGAGUAACACGUGGGAAUGUACCCUUUGGUUCGGAAUAACGUUUGGAAACGAACGCUAAUACCGGAUGAGCCCUACGGGGGAAAGAUUUAUCGCCAAAGGAGCAGCCCGCGUCUGAUUAGCUAGUUGGUGGGGUAAAGGCCUACCAAGGCGACGAUCAGUAGCUGGUCUGAGAGGAUGAUCAGCCACACUGGGACUGAGACACGGCCCAGACUCCUACGGGAGGCAGCGGUGGGGAAUAUUGGACAAUGGGCGGAAGCCUAAUCCAGCCAUGCCGCGUGAGUGAUGAAGGCCUUCGGGUUGUAAAGCUCUUUCGCACACGACGAUGAUGACGGUAGUGUGAGAAGAAGCCCCGGCUAACUUCGUGCCAGCAGCCGCCGUAAAAC
rnacentral:rRNA from 1 species